rnacentral:rRNA from 1 species
UACAGAGGAGCCAAGCGUUGUCAGGAUUGACUGGGCGUAAAGCGCACGCAGGCGGACGCGCGCGUGGGGUGUGAAAUCUGGCCGCUUAACGGCCAGGCGCCAUCCCAUACGGCGCGUCUGGAGUGAUGCAGAGGUCGGUGGAAUUGCCGGUGUAGUGGUGAAAUGCGUAGAGAUCGGCAGGAACACCCAGGGGGAAACCAGCCGACUGGGCAUCUACUGACGCUGAGGUGCGAGAGCGUGGGGAGCGAACCGG